AAUGGGGGAUAACGUAGCGAAAGUUACGCUAAUACCGCAUAUGCCCUGAGGGGGAAAGGUGGGGAUCGCAAGGCCUAUCGUUUUCGGAGUGGCCGAUAUCAGAUUAGCUAGUUGGUGAGGUAAAGGCUCACCAAGGCGACGAUCUGUAGCUGGUCUGAGAGGACGACCAGCCACACUGGGACUGAGACACGGCCCAGACUCCUACGGGAGGCAGCAGUGGGGAAUUUUGGACAAUGGGGGCAACCCUGAUCCAGCCAUGCCGCGUGAGUGAAGAAGGCCUUCGGGUUGUAAAGCUCUUUCAGACGGAAAGAAAUCGCUAUUCCUAAUAUGAGUGGUGGAUGACGGUACCGUCAGAAGAAGUACCGGCUAACUACGUGCCAGCAGCCGCGGUAAUACGUAGGGUGCGAGCGUUAAUCGGAAUUACUGGGCGUAAAGCGUGCGCAGGCGGUUUUGUAAGACAGACGUGAAAUCCCCGGGCUUAACCUGGGAACUGCGUUUGUGACUGCAAGGCUAGAGUACGGCAGAGGGGGGUAGAAUUCCA
rnacentral:rRNA from 1 species